rnacentral:rRNA from 1 species
CUACGGGUGGCUCCAGUGGGGGAUAUUGCACAAUGGGCGAAAGCCUGAUGCAGCAACGCCGCGUGAAGGAAGACGGUUUUCGGAUUAUAAACUUCUAUCAGCUGGGAAGAAAAUGACGGUACCAGACUAAGAAGCCCCGGCUAACUAUGUGCCAGCAGCCGCGGUAAUACAUAGGGGGCAAGCGUUAUCCGGAAUUACUGGGUGUAAAGGGUACGUAGGCGGCUGAUCAAGUCAGAUGUGAAAGCCCGGAGCUCAACUCCGGGAUUGCAUUUGAAACUGGUCGGCUAGAGUGCAGGAGAGGAAAGUGGAAUUCCUAGUGUAGCGGUGAAAUGCGUAGAUAUUAGGAAGAACACCAGUGGCGAAGGCGGCUUUCUGGACUGUAACUGACGCUGAGGUACGAAAGCGUGGGGAGCGAACAGGAUUAGAUACCCCAGUAGUC